UACGAAGGGGGCUAGCGUUGCUCGGAAUGACUGGGCGUAAAGGGCGCGUAGGCGGCUCACAGAGUCGGACGUGAAAUUCCCGGGCUCAACCUGGGGGCUGCACUUGAUACGUAUGGACUGGAGUGGGGAAGAGGGUCGUGGAAUUCCCAGUGUAGAGGUGAAAUUCGUAGAUAUUGGGAAGAACACCGGUGGCGAAGGCGGCGACCUGGUCCUUGACUGACGCUGAGGCGCGAAAGCGUGGGGAGCAAACAGG
rnacentral:rRNA from 1 species